ACACACUGUAUCUGAACUGCAAACCAGGGAGUGACAAGCCAAGAAGAAUAAAGGACAGGAGAAGCAGAAACUCUACUGCAGCCAUCAUCAUGGGUGGAUAUACUAACAGGCAAUUUACUGUUCAUGGCUUAACAGUUUUAAUUUUGAGGAGAUAUCCAUAGACUGACAUGAUAAAGCUUUCAAAUCUCACAUCCAGUUAAGGUUAAACUACAAGCAUGGCUGAGUCUGCAGCCAUGAGUUCAGAUGAUGAUGCCCAGUUUGUGGAUCUGCACAUGGCUGACCUCAUUCAGAGGGUUACUACAGUGAUGAAUAUAGCAGAUAUCCUGCUACAGAGGGGCAUGAUACACAAGGAGAUGUACUCUAAUAUCCGUGCUGCCAGCACCAGCCAGCAACAGAUGCGACUACUGUAUGAGGCCUUGAAUGGAGGGGUAAAGGUGAAAUCAGCCUUUUUCAGGAUUCUACUGGAACAACAACCUCAUCUAGUCCAAGAUCUAGGUCAACCCUCCGCAGUCCAUGCCAGCACAACUCUGAAUUCUAAAGGCAAAGAUGAGAAUAUUGAAGUGUGCCAAACAGAACUGAAAUCUUACCUGAAGAGAACAUUUGAAAGAAUAUUUCCUGGAAUAGCAAUACAAGGACGUCCUACACUCCUAAACAAGAUAUACACAGAGCUCUACAUCACAGAGGGUGGAAGUGGAGAGGUCAACAAAGAACAUGAGGUGAUGCAAAUUGAGGCGGUAUUAAGGAGACCAGUGACACAAGAGAUAGCAAUCAAAUACAACGACAUUUUUAAGCCGUUACCUGGACAGGACAUGACUAUCAGAACUGUGCUCACAAAGGGAAUCGCUGGCAUUGGAAAGACUGUCUCAGUGCAGAAAUUCAUUCUGGACUGGGUUGAUGGAGAAGCCAAUCAGGAUAUACAGUUCAUAUUUCCAAUUCCUUUUCGGGAGCUGAAUUUGAUGAAGGAAAAGACACUUAGUUUGACUGAGCUACUUCAUGAAUUCUUUGAAGAAAUCAAUGAAUCUGGACUUUCAAACUUGAAAAAAAUCAAAGUUUUGUUUAUCUUUGAUGGGUUGGAUGAGUGUCAACUUCCUCUGAAUUUCAAGACAAAUGUGAUCUGCCGUGAUGUCACAAAGUCAACCACAGUGGAUGCACUGCUGACAAACCUCAUCAAGAGGAAACUGCUUCCUUCUGCACUUCUCUGGAUAACUUCCCGACCAGCAGCAUCCAAUCGGAUCCCACCUGAGUGUGUUGACCAGGUGACGGAGGUACGAGGGUUUAGGGAUGAACAGAAGGAGAAAUACUUCAAGAAGACGGUCAGUAAUGAGAAACUGGCAGAAAAAAUUAUCACACAUCUACAGUCAUCAAGGAGCCUCCACAUCAUGUGCCACAUACCAGUGUUCUGUUGGAUUUCAGCCACUGUUCUAGAGAAACUGUUGAGUAAAGCAGAAAGUGGAGACUUACCCAAGAAUCUGACACAAAUGUUCUUACAGUUUCUGAUCUUUCACAUAAAACAGACAAUGCAGAAGUAUCACGAAGACCCUGACACAGAUCUCCACUGGGAUAAAGAGACCAUAAUGAAACUUGGAAAACUGGCUUUUGAACAGCUUGAAAAAGGCAACCUGAUUUUCUAUGAGAAAGAUCUGAAAGAGUUUGGCAUUGAUGUCAGAGAAGCUUCUUUGUGCUCAGGAGUGUUCACACAGAUCUUAAGAGAAGAGUGUGUGUACCAGGAGGUGGUCUACAGCUUUGUUCAUCUGAGCCUUCAGGAGUUCAUUGCUGCUUUGUUUGUGUUUCUCUCAUUUGAAAACAACAAUGAAGAUGUUAUAACACCACAGCUACCAUCCAACUCGACUGGAAUCGUCUUGUAUGAAGAAAAUCUUCCAGACAACAUCUACAAGAGUGCAGUGGAUAAGGCCUUAAAGAGUGAGAGUGGACACCUGGACCUGUUCCUCCGCUUCCUUCUCGGCCUCUCACUGGCGUCCAACCAGACAUUCCUUCGAGGCCUACUGACAAAGACAGGAGGGAGCUCACAGAGCAAGAAGGGCACAGUCGACUUCAUUAAGGACAGGAUCAGGAAAAAUCCCUCUCCAGAGAGGUGCAUCAACCUGUUUCACUGUCUGAAUGAGUUGGACGACCAUUCUCUGGUGGAGGAAGUCCAAAUCUACUUGAAGUCAGGAGGUGAUUCGAAGGUCGAACUCACAUAUUCUCAUUGGUCAGCUAUGGCCUUUGUUAUGCUGUCCUCAGACGAGGAGCUGGAUGUGUUUGAUCUGAAGAAAUUUGUCAGAUCAGAUGAAGGUGUUCUGAGGAUGAUGCCAGUGAUGAAAGCCUCUAAAACAACUCUGUUGAAUUCUUGCAAUAUCACUUGGAGAUAUUGUGAGAAGCUGGCCUUAGCUUUCAGCUCGAGUACCUCAAGUAUGAGAAAGCUGGAUCUGAGUCACAAUCGCCUGACUGAUACAGGGGUGGAGCUGCUCUGUGUUGGACUAGGGAAUCCACUCUGUAAAUUGGAAACACUGAAGCUGUCAGGCUGUAAAGUCCAAGAGGAAGGCUGUGCUUCUCUGGCUUCAGCUCUGAUGUCAAACCCCGCACACCUGAAAGAGCUGGAUCUGAGCUACAAUAACCCAGGAGAUUCAGGAGUGAAGCAGCUCUGUGCUGCACUAGAGGUUCCACACUGUAAACUGGAGACACUGAGUCUGGUUAAUUGCAGCUUAACUGGAACAUGUUGUGAAGCCCUGGCCUCAGCUCUACGCUCAAACUCCUCAAGUCUGAGAGAGUUGGAUCUGAGUAAGAAUGACCUGCACAAUAUGGGUCUGGAGCUGCUCUCUGCUGGACUGAGGAGCAUCAAUUGUAAACUAGAAACCCUGAGGCUGUUAGACUGUCAAGUCACAGAGCAGGACUUUUCUUUUCUGGGUUCAGCUAUGGGCUCAAACCCCUCACACCUGAGGGAACUGGACUUGACCUCCAAUCAUAACCUACAGGAUUCAGGAUUGGCCUAUCUUUCUGCUGCACUGGGGAAUCUGCUUUGUAAACUGGAGACACUGAGGCUUGAAGCCUGUGGAGUCACAGAGGAAGGCUUUUCUUCCCUUGCCUGUGCUCUAAAGUCCAACCCCUCACACCUGAAACAGCUGGACCUGAGCAGCAAUAAAGCAGGAGAUGCAGGAGCAAUACUGCUCUCUGCUGCACUGGAGCAUCCAGGUUGUGAACUAUUGAAAUUGAGGCUCUGUGAUUGUGGUAUGACAAAUGAAGGCUGGGCUUUUCUGGCUUCCCCUCUGAGGUCAAACCCCUCACACCUGAGAGAGCUGGACCUGAGUAAAAAUGCCCUCGGAGACUCAGGAGUGAAGAUACUUUCUACUUUACUGGAGGACCCACACUGUGAACUCGAGACACUGAGGCUUGCAUACUGUGCAGGGGAAAGCUUUGUUUCUCUGGCUUCAGCCCUGAAAUCAAACCCCUCACACCUAAGAGAGCUGGACCUGACCAGGAAUAACCUAGGAGACUCAGGAGUGAAGCUGCUCUCUGCUGGACUGGAGGAUCCAUGCUGUAAACUGGAGAAACUGAGCCUGUUUUGUUGUGAACUGAGUUGGGAAUGCUGUGAGGCACUGGCAGCAGCUCUCAGCUCAACCUCCUCAAGUCUGAGAGAGCUGAACCUGAGUCACAAUAAUCUGGAGAAUUUGGGAGUAAAGAUGCUGUCUGCAGGAUUGGGCAAUCCACAUUGUAAACUGAUGAUCCUGAGGCUCAGUGGCUGUGGUAUGGCGGAAGAAGGCUGUGCUUCUCUGGCCACAGCUCUGAGGUCAAAUCCCUCUCACCUGAGAGAGCUGGAUCUGAGUUUAAAUUCCCCUGGAGACUCUGGAAUGAAUCUGCUCUUUGCUGUGCUGGAAGUUCCCUGUUGCAAACUGGAUAUUUUGAGCCUGGAUAACUGCAAACUCACCUAUAAUUGCUGUGCAGCUCUGGCCACUGCUCUCAGCUCAAACUCCUGUAAUCUGAGAAACCUCAACCUGAGUAACAAUAACCUACUUGAUCCAGGAGUAAAGCUGCUCUCUGCUGGACUGAAGAAACCACAGUGCAAACUGGAGAAGCUGAAGCUGGUAAACUGUAAGUUCAACAAGGAUGGCUGUGUUUCUCUGGCCUCAGCUAUAAGCUCUAACCCCUUCCACCUGAGAGAGCUGGAUCUGGACCAUAACACGUAUGGGCGUGGAAAAGCCAUGCUCAAAGCACUGCAGAAGGAUCCACACUGUCAACUAGAGAAAGUGGGAUUGGUCACACUCUUGGAAGUAAGGGUCCCCAUUUAUCUACAAUAAACUUUUUCCUGAAACCACUGCACUAAAAACAUGUGAUGUGUAGACCAAAAGUGAAACAUCAGAUGCAGCGAAACAUGAAACUCACUACAAAAAAUGUCUGGGUGAAAACGACAAACCAUGUCGGGCCGGUUUCAGUUCAAAGUGCUUCAUCUUUAGAGUGGACAAGAGACACCUCCACAGAGACAGAGCUCUGGGCAAAGGGUGAGCCCUUCCCAGCUGUCCCUGUGCUAGAGUUCCCACAAUCCCGUGCAAACCAGAGGAGGAGGAAGGAGGAAGAGGGAUUGGGUCAUCCCUCCAAUCAAUGUAGCCGAGAAUGUCAGGAGCCCCUUCCCCAGUCCUAUAGUACAGAUCAGGUCCAGUAAUGAUAACGCAGUGAAGAUGCUUUAUAAGAUCACAGGCCAGGGGGCAGACCAGCCUCCAGUUGGCCGAUUCAAGAUCGAGAGGAACACUGGUUGGCUGUCUGUCACGGAACCCUUGGACCGGGAGCAUGUUAGAUAUUACUUGUUAGAUAUUACUGCACUGUCAGAGCUAGAAGCACAAGCAUUUCGCUGCACCCGCAAUAACAUCUGCUAAACACGUGUGUGUGACCAAUAACAUUUGAUUUGAUUUGAAAUACACUGUACGGUAGCACCAUG